GGCGGCACGCCUAACACAUGCAAGUCGAACGAAGUAGCAAUACUUAGUGGCGAACGGGUGAGUAUAAUGUGGGUAUCUGCCUUUUGGUUUGGAAUAACACGGGGAAACUUGUGCUAAUACCGGAUAAGCCUUCACAGGGAAAGUUUUAACGCCAAAAGAUGAGCCCGCACUUGAUUAGCUAGUUGGUAAGGUAAUGGCUUACCAAGGCUACGAUCAAUAGCUGAUCUGAGAGGAUGAUCAGCCACAUUGGGACUGAGACACGGCCCAAACUCCUACGGGAGGCAGCAGUGGGGAAUCUUGCACAAUGGGGGAAACCCUGAUGCAGCGAUGCCGCGUGAGUGAAGAAGGCCUUUGGGUUGUAAAGCUCUUUCGUCGGGGAAGAAAAUGACUGUACCCGAAUAAGAAGGUCCGGCUAACUUCGUGCCAGCAGCCGCGGUAAUACGAAGGGACCUAGCGUAGUUCGGAAUUACUGGGCUUAAAGAGCUCGUAGGUGGUUAGAAAAGUUGGUGGUGAAAUCCCAAGGCUUAACCUUGGAACUGCCAUCAAAACUUUUUAACUAGAGUAUGAUAGAGGAAAGUGGAAUUUCUAGUGUAGAGGUGAAAUUCGUAGAUAUUAGAAAGAACACCAAUUGCGAAGGCAACUUUCUGGAUCAUUACUGACACUGAGGAGCGAAAGCAUGGGUAGCGAAGAGGAUUAGAUACCCUCGUAGUCCAUGCCGUAAACGAUGUGUGCUAGACGUUGGAAAUUUAGUUUUCAGUGUCGCAGCAAAAGCGUUAAGCACACCGCCUGGGGAGUACGACCGCAAGUCAACUCAAAUGGAAUGACGUA
rnacentral:rRNA from 1 species